UGGAAGACCUUUCCUACAAAAAGGAGGAAGGGGAGGUGGCAACUGCAGUCCAGGCUGAGCCUAUCCCCAGGUAAGUCUACAGAUGGGUUGAGGGUGUUUUAUCAUGGCCAUCUGGAUAAGGCAACACUGGAAGGAGGGAACAUGCCCUGUGAGCCAUUUAUACCAUGGAAAGAUCCUCCCACAAGACUCUGGGAGCAACUCUUGCAAGCUCCCUGUGCUGUAGUGGGCCUCAAACACUGUUCAGGUCAGCCACCUCUCUCCAACUUCCAUUGGACAGCUGCAUAAAUUUCUCACAGAACCAGUCACCAGUCCGGUUUAUUCCUAAUGUACUGUUUCAUGCGGCCUCCAUUAAAAGUGUCCCUCAUCAACAUUGAUGCAGUAUGUUGAUAAAGACAGGAAAUGUCCAAUGCACCAACACACUCCACAGGGCUGACAGAAGUGAGACUCAAUCCCGAGGUGGUUGAGGAUGCUAAAGUAGUUUAGCUGGUGGCAGAAUUCCAUAAAGGUGAUUCUUUUCCCUGAAGCUAGAGAACUGGCUUCUGGCCAGCUUGUCCUUUUCUGUCCCCAGGGUCUGGGAAUGGGUGCUAGAGACCUCUGCUCCUCGGCAUGGCUUCUGGCCUUCCUUCCAUCUUUCUGUGCAGUCGUCCCUAAGUUCUACUGAGUCUUCCCUAUCCAUGUGAAAACUCACUUUAUCUGAACCUGGGGAUGAUCCAGAUCAGAUCGCUCUUAGAGGAUAAUCCUGUCCCUGUUGGGUAACAACCUUUCCAACUCCUUGCAAGAUUUAGUGGGACUGGGUUGGAACUGAAUGACUUUAUGUUAAGCCCUCAUCUUUUCCACCCUCCUCUCCUCUCUGCACUCAUACCUCAGGGUGUGUGGAGAUCCACCCCCACUGGAAAGGCCAGAUGUCAUCCUGCCUAUCCUGAAGGAUGACAGAUCCUACAUGCUCUGUGGAUAUUGGGCUGUUGAGUCUGGAACACCAGUGCAGGUUUCUGCUGAGCCUUGGCACCUUACAGCCCAGCAGCCCAUCUGCUGUGCUGAGGCCAUUGUGGUGAAAGAUGCCACCUACCAAAAAGAGAAAGUCAUGUUGGCAACUGCUGAUUGGGCUGAGGCUACCUCCAGGGUGAGUGGAGAUCCACCCCCACUGGAAGGGCCAGAUGCCAUCGUGCCCAUCCUCAAGGAUGAUGGGUCCUACAUGCUCUGUGCAUAUUGGGCUGAUGAGCCUGAAGCCCCAGUCCAGGCCUGGGCUGGGGCCCUGCACCCUAUAAUCCAGCAGCCCAUCUGCUGUGCGGAGGCCAUUGUGGGUGAGUCUUUUGGUGGGAAUCUUGCUCUAGACCUGCCAAACCAGCUGAGUGCACCCUAGUGACAGAGGCCUGCUUGCUCUAUACCCCUGGGGAAAGGUGUGAUGUGGCAGGAACUCUGCGCUACUUCUGGGUGGACUAAGCAGAGCCCUGGGUGGAGUUUGCAGCAGGGAUGUAGUGUAGGCAGGUAUUUCAUGACCUCAGAGUCCCAGGUUAUGCUCUGUUUUCUGACAAGCAAGCCGACCAUGUUGCUGCAUAAGAGGCAAGUGUGAUGGCAGGGCCCCAGCCUGUGCUCCUGCAUGUGUCAAGGAUUUCUUCUAGCCUACACAUGGAAGAGUGGGGCACCUUUGGCCAGUGACAGGCUUCCCUUGAGGCCUUUGCCCUAGAUGCCAUUACACUGCAUGCCUGCCACCACAGCUCUACUCGGGUUACCUUCUCAGCCUGAUAUCUUUCUCAGAUCCCGAUGAACUGGGCAUGCUGUCUCUCUCAUCCCAAUUGUGUUUAUGUCACUCUUCUAGAACCCUGAGCCAUGUCCUGAGGGUUCCAUGCUGAGGUUGCCAGUGCUGGCCUCAUGCCUCUCAGGAUCCACUAAGGGCCACUGUGUGAAUGACACCAAAAGGCUCCUGUGUGUGUGAAGCUCUGUGGGUUUCAUAUGUUCAUACUGUGGCAGGGUGUACAUGCCCAGGAGUCCCCCACCAAUGACUGCUGUGGGGAUGAGCCCCCUGUUGUGACACAUCAGACAUAGACCAAGGAGCCAUGUAGUGAAAGCGGCUGGCCCCUCAUGGAAGAUCAGGAUGCCUGAUCUGUGGCUAUCACACUCCGGACAGGCAGGGAGCUCUCCAUUGGUAGGCAGAGGACUUGCCAUUGCAGGCAUGUUCCCUGGGAGUGAGGCUGUUGCUAACACCUGUUCACUAAGUGAGCAGCAUAGGUGUCCUCAGAAGCUGGUGGGGCAUUUGUGAUACCUGGGCUUUACUAUGAGAAUGUGUUUGCAUGCCAUCUCAUUGACCAUGUCCUGCCCCAUUUGCCCUCCUUGCAGUGGAAGAUGCCUCCAGCCAGAAGGAG
ensembl:lncRNA